GACGAACGCUGGCGGCGUGCUUAAAAACAUGCAAGUCGAACGGACUUCUCAUGAAGCUUGCGAUUGAGAAGUUAGUGGCGGACGGGUGAGUAACGCGUGGGCAACCUGCCCCUGAGCCCGGGAUAACAGUUCGAAAGGACUGCUAAGACCGGAUAUACUUGCGGUGAAGCAUUUCACUGCAAGGAAAGGGAACGCUCAGGGGAUGGGCCCGCGUCCCAUUAGCUAGUUGGUGAGGUAACGGCCCACCAAGGCGACGAUGGGUAGCCGGCCUGAGAGGGUGAACGGCCACACUGGGACUGAGACACGGCCCAGACUCCUACGGGAGGCAGCAGUUGGGAAUAUUGGACAAUGGGGGAAACCCUGAUCCAGCCAUGCCGCGUGUGUGAAGAAGGCCCUAGGGUUGUAAAGCACUUUAAUUAGGGAGGAAGGCUGUUUGGUUAAUACCCAAGCAGAUUGACGUUACCUAAAGAAUAAGCACCGGCUAACUCCGUGCCAGCAGCCGCGGUAAGCACGAG
rnacentral:rRNA from 1 species